CCAAAGUGCUGGGAUUCCAGGCGUGAGUCACUGCGCCCAGCCCUUAUUUCUAACUUUAUUUAUUGAUGAGUAUGUAUUCAAUAGGUAACUUGGGGAUUCCUGUGGUGCUGGACUAUACAAAAAGAUCCUAUUAAAUCUUGAUAUAUUUAAAUCUCAUCCAAACUGGUAACAAUUUCCCUAGUAGAAAACUUGGCUUUAUUAUACGUUCCCAGUAUAAAAUCUCAGCCAAAUUACACAUGUCCAGAGGAAAAAAAAUUGUUUUGUCAAACCAAUUGGUAGAUUUUCCAUGAAUGUUCAACAGUCAAUAAAUAUUGCCUACCAUGUGCCAGGUUUUGUGCUGGACAUUGGGAAUACAGCACUGAGACAAUUUCCAUCCCAAAGGAGCCCCCAGAUUAGAAAGGAGGAUGGAAAGUAACCAGGUAAUUAUAAUUAUAAUAUAUAAUAAUUAUAAUACAAAGGGAGAAGUAUUUCCAUAGGGCCAAGUAUGGGAGCUGUGAGAGCUCAGAGUUCAUUGAUUCAUUCAUUCAACCCAGUUGAUUAUUCAACAUAUUUAUUGAGCAUCUACAAUGUACCUGGGCACUGUGCUAGGAACAGGGAAAACAGUAGAGGAAAGAAGGACACAUUCCCUGCCCUCAUGUUGCUUUGGGUCUAGUGGAGGAGAGAGACAGAUAAGCAAUAAUUAUAACAUGCUAAUGCUAUGAAAGGAGAGCAUCCAGGAGGCACCAACCCAAGUUGGGUCAUGAGGAAAGGGUAGCCAAGAUGAAAUGGGAAGGAUCCAAAGGUGGGGAAGAAUGUUUCAUACAGAGGAAUAGCGCUGUGCACAGGGCAAGAGGGACCAUAGUGAAGGUCAUUUUAUUUUAUUAUUAUUAUUUUUUUUUUGAGAUGGAGUCUUGCUCUGUCACCCAGGCUAGAGUGCAGUGGUGCAACCUAGGCUCACUGCAACCUCUGCCUCCCAGGUUCAGGUGAUUCUCCUGCCUCAGCCUCCCGAGUAGCUGGGAUUACAGGCAUGUGCCACCACACCCGGCUGCGUUUUGUAUUUUUAGUAGAGACGGGGUUUCACCAUCUUGGCUAGGCUGGUCUCAAACUCCUGACCUCAUGAUUCACCCACCUCGGCCUCCCAAAGUGCUGGGAUUACAGGUGUGAGCCACUGCGCCCGGCCUGUGAAGGUCAUUUUAAGUGGCUGGAGCAAAAAACUUGGGCAGAGUGGAGGUUGCAAGGGGGUUGGGGGAGAAGAGUUUGGCAAAAGAUAAUCAGUGACCAGAUCCUGACAAAUCUUGUAAGCCAUGUUAAAGAGUUUGGUCUUUUUCUGGGGUUAACGGGCAAAGAGAAGAUUUAAGCAAAGGAAUGAAGUGGUCAGAUGUUCACUUUAGGAAGUCACUGGGUGCCAUGUAGAAAGUGGACGGCAGGUGAGGUGCCAGAGGCAGGGGAGCAGUCAGGGGGCUGUUGAUAUUCUCCUGGCAAGCGCUGGCAAUUGUCUGACCUCAGAACAGUGACGGAGAGACGUGGACUCAUUGGAGAACCACGUGGGAGGCACAAGUAACAUGCCCCUUUUCUUUCCUG
rnacentral:lncRNA from 1 species